UGCCCAGUUGGUCAAGGUCCUAGCUACUA
rnacentral:piRNA from 1 species